CAGUCGCCGCGGGAAUACGAAGGGGGCUAGCGUUGCUCGGAAUGACUGGGCGUAAAGGGCGCGUAGGCGGAUUGCGCAGUCAGAUGUGAAAUUCCUGGGCUUAACCUGGGGGCUGCAUUUGAGACGCGUAGUCUAGAGUGUGAAAGAGGGUCGUGGAAUUCCCAGUGUAGAGGUGAAAUUCGUAGAUAUUGGGAAGAACACCGGUGGCGAAGGCGGCGACCUGGUUCAUAACUGACGCUGAGGCGCGAAAGCGUGGGGAGCAAACAGGAUUAGAUACCCGAGUAGUCCCUGUCUCUUAUAC
rnacentral:rRNA from 1 species